AGAGUUUGAUCAUGGCUCAGGAUGAACGCUAGCGACAGGCCUAACACAUGUAAGUCGAGGGGCAGCGGAGAGGUAGCAAUACCUUUGCCGGCGACCGGCGCACGGGUGAGUAACACGUAUUCAAUCCACCUGUAACAGGGGGAUAACCCGGAGAAAUCCGGACUAAUACCCCAUAAUAUGGGCGCUCCGCAUGGAGAGCCCAUUAAAGAGAGCAAUUUUGGUUACAGACGAGCAUGCGCUCCAUUAG
rnacentral:rRNA from 1 species